GUGACCAGGUGCAAGGUGGAGCUUUAGCCCAUUUUUCUGAGCUGCCCACAUCCAUGAGUUCCUAAUUCGAAAAGGAAAAGGAUAAAAGAGUCUGGAAAAGGAAAAUACGUAUCAGCAUGGUUAUGAAGUGUGGAAAUUUGACAGCCUGUUAUGAAAAUAGA